AACUCGGCUUGUUUUUUAUUGACGUUUGUAGUUUAAUUUGGCUCAUUUAUCGUUAUUGAAGACGGCAGAACAACACAUGUAGCAUCUAUUUGCCAUUUGCUGUUUCCACAGUUUGUUUUAUGGAGCUCAGCCCACUGCUGCCAGGACUCGAUGAGACAGGCAGUAAAACCGGAGAGGGCGGGGCUCUUCGUCAGCGAGUGAUGUGAUUGGCUGGAUUGGACUGGAGCCCCCCAAUAAUGAUGGAGUCGUAACCCCCUAAACAUGUAAAAUGAUUCAAGAGUGGACUUGCUACUUUGCAGUUUUUAACAGCCCUGCAGCAAUAUCCUAUGGCGCUGACUCCUGUCUUGUGCCAUUCUGAGAGAAAGUUAUCUGCUGGGGACAUCGAAAAUCUCUUCCAACCAGAGCUUAGUCCAAAUGGCAGCAACCGGAGAGCCCAGGAGAACAAGACAACAAGUUUCUGGGCCGACUACCUUCUUGACUGUGAAGGUUGGUUUAUUUGUUCUACAUCACACUAAUUACAAUGAAAAUUAACUACUUAUAAUGUAUCGGUGUUGGUAUUUAAUUCUACUUUCAGAAACUAACAGUGAGGUGACCCUGGAGGAUGUCCUCAUGUUUGCAACAGGUGUGCCAUCUAUUCCUCCUGCUGGUAUGGACCCUCAGCAACGUCUUGAAUAUAUUCCCCAUGGCAAAUACAUGUGCCAACACUUUAAAGCUGCCCCUCUUGGACAGCUAUAUUACAUUUAAACACAAUAUGUACUUUGGGAUUAAGAAUUCCCCUGGCUUUGGAUGCCUUUAGUCAGCAUGCAGGUGUUGUUAUUUUGGGCCAGAUCUGUAAAAGUUUUGGAUUCUAGUUGUGUGGGUUAUAUGUGUGUGUGUGUAUAUACAUAUAUUAGUUCUAGUGCAUUAGUUUGUUCCUAAAUUUCUAUGUUAUGUUGUGUAGUUUGGUCUGAAAGACAACACAAUGUUACAAUGAUAUUGUUGAAACCAACUGUUUAUACCAUUCUUUAUUUUGUCAUUUUAAGCAACAGUUGCUGUAUUGCUUGUAAAAAUAAAUAUACA